rnacentral:rRNA from 1 species
UACGUAGGGGGCUAGCGUUGUCCGGAUUUAUUGGGCGUAAAGAGCGUGUAGGCGGCUCGUUGCGUCGGCUGUGAAAACCCGCAGCUCAACUGUGGGCUUGCAGCUGAUACGGGCGGGCUGGGAUUCGGUAGGGGAGACUGGAAUUCCUGGUGUAGCGGUGAAAUGCGCAGAUAUCAGGAGAACACCGGUGGCGAAGGCGGGCUCU